CGUAGGGUGCGAGCGUUAAUCGGAAUUACUGGGCGUAAAGUGUGCGCAGGCGGCAGAGCAAGUCGAGUGUGAAAGCCCCGGGCUUAACUUGGGAAUUGCGCUCGAAACUACUUUGCUGGAGUGUGGCAGAGGAAGGUGGAAUUCCACGUGUAGCGGUGAAAUGCGUAGAGAUGUGGAGGAACACCAAUGGCGAAGGCAGCCUUCUGGGCCAACACUGACGCUCAUGCACGAAAGCGUGGGGAGCAAACAGGAUUAGAUACCCUGGUAGUCCACGCCCUAAACGAUGACGACUAGUUGUUGGAGGAGUUAAAUCCUUUAGUAACGCAGCUAACGCGCGAAGUCGUCCGCCUGGGGAGUACGGUCGCAAGAUUA
rnacentral:rRNA from 1 species